UCUUGGUCAUUUAGAGGAAGUAAAAGUCGUAACAAGGUUUCCGUAGGUGAACCUGCGGAAGGAUCAUUAAAAUGUAAAUUGACCCUUUACACCCUUCUGUGUAUUUUACCUGUUUUUGGAUGAUGGAAUUAGUAAAAUAUUCCAUAGAACAAAUAUUUUAAACUAUUAUUCAUAAUGAUAUUAGUCUGAUUUUGUAUAAAUAAAAGUUAAAACUUUCAACAACGGAUUUCUUGGUUCUCGCAUCGAUGAAGAACGCAGCGAAAUGCGAUAAGUAGUGUGAAUUGCAGAAUUCAGUGAAUCAUCGAAUCUUUGAACGCACAUUGCGCCUUCUAGUAUUCUGGGAGGCAUGCCUGUUUGAGCGUCAUUAAAUUUUACUUUAGCAGUUUUGCUUGGAUAUGAAGGAAGAGUAUAUAAAGGCUUUCCUUUGAAAUGUAUUAGUAGAUGUAAAGUUGUGAAUUACCCUGUUUUGAUGUAAUAGUCUUUAUUGGUUGUGAUUUGUAUACAACUAUAUCUUGCUUUAACAUAUUUUUUUUUUUAUGGUUGACCUCAAAUCAGGUAGGGAUACCCGCUGAACUUAAGCAUAUCAAUAAGCGGAGGA
rnacentral:rRNA from 1 species